rnacentral:tRNA from 1 species
GGUGUGGCUCAGUGGGAGAGCACUUGCCUAGCAUGUGUGAAGCACUGGGUUCAAUUCUCAGCACC